ACGCUGGCUGUGUGCCUAAUACAUGCAUGUCGAGCGAGGUUAGCAAUAACCUAGCGGCGAAUGGGUGAGUAACACGUGCUUAAUCUACCUUUUAGAUUGGAAUACCCAUUGGAAACAAUGGCUAAUGCCGGAUACGCAUGGAACCGCAUGGUUCCGUUGUGAAAGGCGCUGUAAGGCGCCACUAAAAGAUGAGGGUGCGGAACAUUAGUUAGUUGGUGAGGUAAUGGCCCACCAAGACUAUGAUGUUUAGCCGGGUCGAGAGACUGAACGGCCACAUUGGGACUGAGAUACGGCCCAAACUCCUACGGGAGGCAGCAGUAGGGAAUAUUCCACAAUGAGCGAAAGCUUAAUGGAGCGACACAGCGUGCACGAUGAAGGUCUUCGGAUUGUAAAGUGCUGUUAUAAGGGAAGAACAUUUGCAAUAGGAAAUGAUUGCAGACUGACGGUACCUUGUCAGAAAGCGAUGGCUAACUAUGUGCCAGCAGCCGCGGUAAUACAUAGGUCGCAAGCGUUAUCCGGAAUUAUUGGGCGUAAAGCGUUCGUAGGCUGUUUGUUAAGUCUGGAGUUAAAUCCCGGGGCUCAACCCCGGCUCGCUUUGGAUACUAGCAAACUAGAGUUAGAUAGAGGUAAGCGGAAUUCCAUGUGAAGCGGUGAAAUGCGUAGAUAUAUGGAAGAACACCAAAGGCGAAGGCAGCUUACUGGGUCUAUACUGACGCUGAGGGACGAAAGCGU
rnacentral:rRNA from 1 species